CAGCCGUAAACAAUGUGCGUUAGGUGUGUCGGUAACCACGUGUUACUGAUGCGCCGAAGAGAAAUCGUGAAACGCACCACCUGGGAAGUACGGUCGCAAGGCUGAAACUUAAAGGAAUUGGGCGGGGGAGCACCACAACGCGUGGAGCCUGCGGUUUAAUUGGAUUCAACGCCGGACAUCUCACCGGGACCGACAGCAACAUGAAGGCCAAGCUGAAGACUUUGCCGGAUUAGCUGAGAGGUGGUGCAUGGCGUAGUCGUGU
rnacentral:rRNA from 1 species